ACAGAGGUGGCAAGCGUUGUUCGGAAUUACUGGGCGUAAAGCGUGCGUAGGUGGUUCGUUAAGUCUGAUGUGAAAGCCCUGGGCUCAACCUGGGAAUGGCAUUGGAUACUGGCGACCUAGAGUGCGGUAGAGGGUAGCGGAAUUCCCGGUGUAGCAGUGAAAUGCGUAGAUAUCAGGAGGAACACCGGUGGCGAAGGCGGCUAUCUGGACAGAAACUGACGCUGAGGCGCGAAAGCUAGGGGAGCAAACAGGA
rnacentral:rRNA from 1 species